rnacentral:rRNA from 1 species
CCUACGGGUGGCAGCAGUGAGGAAUAUUGGUCAAUGGCCGAGAGGCUGAACCAGCCAAGUCGCGUGAGGGAAGAAUGUCCUAUGGAUUGUAAACUUCUUUUGUCAGGGAGCAAAGUCACCCACGUGUGGGUGUUGGAGAGUACCUUAAGAAAAAGCAUCGGCUAACUCCGUGCCAGCAGCCGCGGUAAUACGGAGGAUGCGAGCGUUAUCCGGAUUUAUUGGGUUUAAGGGGUGCGUAGGCGGUUUUUAAAGUCAGGGGGAAAAUCGUGGGGUUAAACUCCAACCAGCCGUUGAAACUGAUGAUCUUGAGUGGGCGAGAGGUAUGCGGAAUGCGUGGUGUAGCGGUGAAAUGCAUAGAUAUCACGAAGAACUCCGAUUGCGAAGGCAGCAUACCGGCGCCCGACUGACGCUGAGGCACGAAAGCGUGGGUAUCGAACAGGAUUAGAUACCCCAGUAGUC